UCCUACGGGGGGCAGCAGUGGGGAAUAUUGGGCAAUGGGCGCAAGCCUGACCCAGCAACGCCGCGUGAAGGAAGAAGGCUUUCGGGUUGUAAACUUCUUUUCUCAGAGACGAAGCAAGUGACGGUACCUGAGGAAUAAGCCACGGCUAACUACGUGCCAGCAGCCGCGGUAAUACGUAGGUGGCAAGCGUUAUCCGGAUUUAUUGGGUUUAAAGGGUGCGUAGGCGGUCCGGAAAGUCAGCGGUAAAAGCCCGGGGAUCAACCCCGGCGAGCCGUUGAAACUGUCGGACUAGAGAGGGAGAGAAG
rnacentral:rRNA from 1 species